AAUGGGUCAGCGACUUAUAUUCUGUAGCAAGGUUAACCGAAUAGGGGAGCCGAAGGGAAACCGAGUCUUAACUGGGCGUUAAGUUGCAGGGUAUAGACCCGAAACCCGGUGAUCUAGCCAUGGGCAGGUUGAAGGUUGGGUAACACUAACUGGAGGACCGAACCGACUAAUGUUGAAAAAUUAGCGGAUGACUUGUGGCUGGGGGUGAAAGGCCAAUCAAACCGGGAGAUAGCUGGUUCUCCCCGAAAGCUAUUUAGGUAGCGCCUCGUGAAUUCAUCUCCGGGGGUAGAGCACUGUUUCGGCAAGGGGGUCAUCCCGACUUACCAACCCGAUGCAAACUGCGAAUACCGGAGAAUGUUAUCACGGGAGACACACGGCGGGUGCUAACGUCCGUCGUGAAGAGGGAAACAACCCAGACCGCCAGCUAAGGUCCCAAAGUCAUGGUUAAGUGGGAAACGAUGUGGGAAGGCCCAGACAGCCAGGAUGUUGGCUUAGAAGCAGCCAUCAUUUAAAGAAAGCGUAAUAGCUCACUGGUCGAGUCGGCCUGCGCGGAAGAUGUAACGGGGCUAAACCAUGCACCGAAGCUGCGGCAGCGACACUAUGUGUUGUUGGGUAGGGGAGCGUUCUGUAAGCCUGUGA
rnacentral:rRNA from 1 species